GCAAACAGAGAUAGUUUGAUUUCUUCAUUUCCUAUUUGUAUCCAAUUGAUUUCAUUUUCUUACCUGAUUGGCUAAUGUUUUGAGGACUGUAUUAAAGAGGAGUAGUGAGAGGAGAUAGUCUUGUCUUGUUCCUGAUUUUAAAGGGAAUGCUUUUAAUUUUUAUCCAUUUAGUAUUGUGUUGGCUUUGGGUAUGUUGGAAAUGGCCUUUAUGAUGUUAAGGUAAAUUCCUUCAAUCCUUGCUUUUCCAGCAUUUUUAAUAUGAAUGGUGUUAGAGUCUCAAUUUUUAAGGAGUAGAAUCUUUACUUGGGAUAAACUUGAUACAGAAAAAAUAACUUAUAUAGGACCCAAGGAGAAUAAAUAAAAGCCAUAAAAUAGUGUUCUAGAUAAAGAGGUAUGUGUCUAUAUGGUGAGGAAAGAAUGGGAGAUGCAGGGCUUGAUAGUGAAGAAUUCCAAUUACCCUUACCCCUACUCACAAAUCACUUCCUGGGAAUCUUCUAGGACUGAAAAUACUUUCCAACUCUGAUGUUCUAUGAUUAUUUGCUUUAUAAAAUUUUUAGUCAGUGCAUAAUCAAAUACUGCUAUAAGGAAGUAUUUGGGAUGCUAAAGUAUGUAAAUACUUAAGUCAAAUACAAGGACCAAAACAAAUGGGAACUACAGUUGUAAUGAUUGUGUCCUAUUUGAUACUAAAUAUGGUGAAUUAGAAAGAACAUUGGACAGGGAAAUUAGAAUAUCCAUAUCCCUUCAUGUAGUGGCAUUUAGAGAUAUAGAAAGAUGCACAUUAAUGCUAAAAAGCAAGCAAAAAGUUCAGACAUAACACUAGAUGGCAGCAGCAGAAAUAGAUUGAACCGCAGAAACAAGGGCUAGAUGCCCCCUCUUCUUUUCUCCCCCCCCCUUCUUAAGGUAUACAUUUUCAUCUUUUUAUCAUUCAAAAUGAUAUUCAUUAGUAGAAGAUCCAUUAAGUUAAUUUUCAGAUCUAAAUUUUUAAAUAUUUAAGCAACACUAAGUGACUUUUCAGUACUAAACAAUGUCAUUGAGGGUGGAGAAAAGUAAAUGUAUCAAGAGAUGUAGAAAAGUCUGACUCAGUGUUUUUUUGAAUGUGAAAUAUUUGGGAGAAGGAAGUAUUAUGAAUAAUGAUCUGGUUUCUGGCCUGUGCAACUUGGAUAGAGAGCACAGAAAUCAAGAUGAUAUUUAUGUUUUAAACAUAUUCAAUAUGAGGUAACUAUGGAAUAUUCAAGUAGAAUAGGCAGUUGGAUAGAUAUUAUCUGAGAUGAUGACACUGUGUUGGUGGCCAUAUGUAUAUAGAUGGUAGCUAAAAACACAAAAAAAGGAUCUUAUGCAUAAUAUAAAUUAUGUGAGUUUAAAAGGAAAGAGUUAAGAUUUAAAUCCCAAGAAAGAUUAACAUUUAAGGGAUAAAUGAUAUAAAAAGAACUUACCAUGUAUGGCUGAACAUGACGCUACAUUGUAUACAACCAGAGAAAGGAAAAGGUGUGUUGCAAUUGUGUACAAUGAAUCAAAAUGUAUUCUGCUGUCAUAUAUACCCAAUUAGAAUAAAUAAAUAAAUAAAUAAAUUUUAAAAAGUGAAA
rnacentral:lncRNA from 1 species